CUUCGCCCGGUCAGUUGAAAUAACAUUGGUAAUAUUACUAAGUCAGAUAAUGUUUAUUUUAAGAUUUUUCUUGUCGUCUGACACCCCGAGGCAAAACCUUAAAUUAUGCCUUAUCUAUAACAUAAAAGAACUUUUUUCAUUCUUCGUGUGAAAUCAGGUGUUUACAUUUUAAUUAACGUGUGUUUGUUUAAACAUUGUAUCAUCUUGUUCAUUUCUACCCUUUAAUCCCUAGGGGAAGAUUAUACAUAAUAAUGACUAUCUAAAUUUACAAACUAUAGGUGCAAGCGUCUAAAAAUUACUGUAGUAAGGUAUCAUGUUACAUGAAACUGAUAUUUGACAUAUUUUGUUCAAAUGAUAAUGUCUUUAAAU
rnacentral:lncRNA from 1 species